rnacentral:lncRNA from 1 species
UAAACUUCUGGUUUACUUUAACAUGUGUUUUAAUUGUACUAAAUUGUAAAUUGAUAAUUUUAUUAUCAUUCCUUUUAAUUUGUAUGCACAUAUAAGUACUAUUGUGACAUUUACUACUGGAAAUGUCUAAAUCAAUGUGAAGUCUAUAAUGUCACCAAGUCAAUAAAUAUAAUUUUUAAAUAAUUAUAUGCAAUAUUCGCUUAAGAGAAUAUGUCAAAAUCUUCAAAUGCCCAAAAAUCUAUUAAUAGCAAAC